rnacentral:misc_RNA from 1 species
GAUGAAGAACGCAGCGAAAUGCGAUAAGUAAUGUGAAUUGCAGAAUUCCGUGAAUCAUCGAAUCUUUGAACGCACAUUGCGCCCGCCAGCAUUCUGGCGGGCAUGCCUGUUCGAGCGUCAUUUCAACCCUCGAGCCCCCCCGGGGGCCUCGGUGUUGGGGGACGGCACACCAGCCGCCCCCGAAAUGCAGUGGCGACCCCGCCGCAGCCUCCCCUGCGUAGUAGCACACACCUCGCACCGGAGCGCGGAGGCGGUCACGCCGUAAAACGCCCAACUUUCUUAGAGUUGACCUCGGAUCAGGUAGGAAUACCCGCUGAACUUAAGCAUAUCAAUAAGCGGAGGA